rnacentral:rRNA from 1 species
GACGAACGCUGGCGGCGUGCCUAAUACAUGCAAGUCGAGCGAAGUUUUUCUGGUGCUUGCACUAGAAAAACUUAGCGGCGAACGGGUGAGUAACACGUAAAGAACCUGCCUCAUAGACUGGGACAACUAUUGGAAACGAUAGCUAAUACCGGAUAACAGUAUUUCUCGCAUGAGAGAUAUUUAAAAGUUGGUUAUGCUAACACUAUGAGAUGGCUUUGCGGUGCAUUAGCUAGUUGGUGGGGUAAAGGCCCACCAAGGCGACGAUUCAUAGCCGACCUGAGAGGGUGAUCGGCCACACUGGGACUGAGACACGGCCCAGACUCCUACGGGAGGCAGCAGUAGGGAAUCUUCCGCAAUGGGCGAAAGCCUGACGGAGCAACGCCGCGUGAGUGAAGAAGGAUUUCGGUUCGUAAAGCUCUGUUGUUAGGGAAGAAUGGAUAUGUAGUAACUAUACAUGUAAGAGACGGUACCUAACCAGAAAGCCACGGCUAACUACGUG